UAUAAUAUGAAUCAUGACCCCCGGAGUUGUGUGGAGUUUCUGCAUCUCUCCCUCCCCACUGUGGCUACCCUCAUCCAGCAACCAUCCUGUCUCUCACCGGUAUUACCGCAGCUGAGACCCAGGUCUUAAGGAAGCUGAGACCCAGGCCAGCAGGGGCCUCACAGGUAGAAUGAAGCUUGGAAAAAGAGGAGGGUGUAAGACUCUGGAUGAAGCUGAGAGAUCCUUCCAUGCUUGGCUGAGAGACUACACAGACAUGAGCUUCAGGAGACUCCAAAGCCUCGGAUCCCCUUCUAAACUAGCACUGAAUUCUGAUUGGCUGUCUUUGCCUGCCUCAGUU
rnacentral:lncRNA from 1 species